GACGAACGCUGGCGGCGUGCUUAACACAUGCAAGUCGAACGGACAGACAGAGAGCUUGCUCUCUUGAAGUUAGUGGCGAACGGGUGAGUAACGCGUAAUCAACCUGCCCUUCAGAGGGGGAUAACAACGGGAAACCGUUGCUAAUACCGCGUACGAUUCAUGAACGGCAUCGUUUAUGAAUGAAAGGUGGCCUCUAUGUAUAAGCUAUCGCUGAAGGAGGGGAUUGCGUCUGAUUAGCUAGUUGGAGGGGUAACGGCCCGCCAAGGCAAUGAUCAGUAGCCGGGCUGAGAGGAUGAACGGCCACAUUGGGACUGAGACACGGCCCAAACUCCUACGGGAGGCAGCAGUGGGGAAUCUUCCGCAAUGGACGAAAGUCUGACGGAGCAACGCCGCGUGAGUGAUGAAGGUCUUCGGAUUGUAAAGCUCUGUUAAUCGGGACGAAAGAGUUCUGCGUGAAUAAUGCAGAAAAGUGACGGUACCGGAAUAGAACGCCACGGCUAACUACGUGCCAGCCGCCGCAGUAA
rnacentral:rRNA from 1 species